UUGCCCAUAGGGUGUACUCAGUGGGAAGCCCUCUAAGGUCUCAUAAGCUAACCUCUUCCCGAGUGCCUGUCAACCUCGACAGUGAGGAACAACUGUCCUGUUUGCCUAUCUGAGAGGAGUGCUGCAUAGGACACCAACACAACUGAGCUUCACAGAUGAAGUGCAGAGGCCAUCAUAUAUGCCCUGGCUGUCCUACGGAAUUUCUCAUUGCAGGAGGCUGAGCAGGUCUUCCUUUCUGGUCCGGAUUAUCAUUACAGGUCAGAGUAGAAUAUGAAUUAUUUUUGCACAAUGCCCAGUGCACCUUUUGUUACUGAUAUUUCUGUUAACCCAACAGUGAUUGUUCUCUGAUAACUAUUUCAGUGAAGUGGAAGAUUUUAAUAGAAGGAUUGACGGUAACACUUUCUAUGAAGCCUGUAUUUAUAAUACAUUAUAAGGUUAUUCUUAAAGCUUUAUAAGGAAUUAAUUAUGCAUUAUAAGAAACCUUAUAAU